CAGGGUCUGACGACUGCCCAAACCAAACCGUGAACUAUUCCACACGAACCAUAUGCUCCGGCGGGCCGCUCGCUGGGGGAGCCGCGGGCCGCUUUGUCGGUGGUCCGCCGGAAGCAUGCAAACUUAACUACUGCUCUGAGAACUGCUCUGAGAAAUUCUUUUUCUAACGAAAAUAAAUCA
rnacentral:misc_RNA from 2 species